UCUGGAUCACCAGACACAAGACAUGUGGCCAGACAGAAUUAUAAAACUAGCUGGAGCACAGUCGGGGUUAGUGGCUCUGAACACAGAUGGAACCUUAGUGGGGAUCUCUGCAUGUGGUUUGGCUAUAUGGCUGAGUGGCUUGGGGUGGCUGAGCGAACCGGUGGCGGUGCUGUGCUGGGCGGCUACGGCUCCACAUGCUCCCGACCGCCGGUUGAGACCGUUGGCGGGGUCGACUGAAAGGAUAUCCACAGCUCAAGUGUAGACCAUGCCAAUCUAAAGAACCAAGACCAUCUGCUAGAGCAAAGACCAUGAUAGCUGCCAGAAGUCCAGCCUCAACUCCUAAAAAAGACUUCCUGUUAUACCAGCAGUGUGACACUGGUCACUAGAAAUAAAAACUACAAAGACAAGAACA
rnacentral:lncRNA from 1 species